rnacentral:rRNA from 1 species
GAUCAUGGCUCAGGAUGAACGCUGGCGGCGUGCUUAACACAUGCAAGUCGAACGAAGCACUUUUACAGAUUUCUUCGGAAUGAAGUUUUAGUGACUGAGUGGCGGACGGGUGAGUAACGCGUGGGUAACCUGCCUCAUACAGGGGGAUAACAGUUGGAAACGACUGCUAAUACCGCAUAAGCGCACAGGAUCGCAUGAUCCGGUGUGAAAAACUCCGGUGGUAUGAGAUGGACCCGCG